rnacentral:rRNA from 1 species
UACGGGGGGGUGCGAGCGUUGUCCGGAAUCACUGGGCGUAAAGGGCGCGUAGGUGGUUUGAUAAGGCUGUGGUGAAAGCCCGGGGCUCAACCCCGGGUCUGCCGUGGCGACUGUCAGACUUGAGGGCUCGAGAGGCAGACGGAAUUCCGGGUGUAGCGGUGGAAUGCGUAGAGAUCCGGAAGAAGACCGGUGGCGAAGGCGGUCUGCUGGCGAGUACCUGACACUGACGCGCGACAGCGUGGGGAGCAAACAGG